GAAAACUUGGAAACUACUGUUGGAUCGAGAAAUGGACGUCCGAGAAUCGUCCACGUCACCAUAAGUUAAAAUUUAACUCGCAGAUUCACUCAUGAGUUAAAAUUUUAUUAGGAGUUAAUUUUUAACUCAGGGUGACGUGGACGAAUCUCGGACGUCCAUUUCUCGAUCCAACGGUAAUUUCCAAGUUUCC
rnacentral:pre_miRNA from 1 species